rnacentral:rRNA from 1 species
UACGUAGGGUGCGAGCGUUGUCCGGAAUUAUUGGGCGUAAAGAGCUCGUAGGCGGUUUGUCACGUCGGAUGUGAAACCCCGGGGCUUAACUCCGGGCCUGCAUUCGAUACGGGCUGACUAGAGUUCGGCAGGGGAGACGUGGAAUUCCUGGUGUAGCGGUGAAAUGACGCAGAUAUCAGGAGGAACACCGGUGGCGAAGGCGGGUCUCUGGGCCGAUACUGACGCUGAGGAGCGAAAGCGUGGGGAGCGAACAGG